UACGAAGGGAGCUAGCGUUGUUCGGAAUCACUGGGCGUAAAGCGCACGUAGGCGGAUGUGUCAGUCAGGGGUGAAAUCCCGGAGCUCAACUUCGGAACUGCCUUUGAUACAGCACGUCUUGAGUCCGAUAGAGGUGGGUGGAAUUCCUAGUGUAGCGGUGAAAUGCGUAGAUAUUGGGAGGAACACCAGUGGCGAAGGCGGCUCACUGGCCCGAUACUGACGCUGAGGCACGAAAGCGUGGGGAGCAAACAGG
rnacentral:rRNA from 1 species